GACGAACGCUGGCGGCGUGCUUAACACAUGCAAGUCGAACGAAGAGCGAUGGAAUCUUGCUUCUAUCAAUCUUAGUGGCGUACGGGUGAGUAACGCGUAAUCAACCUGCCCUUCAGAGGGGGACAACAGUUGGAAACGACUGCUAAUACCGCAUACGAUCUAAUCUCGGCAUCGAUGAUAGAUGAAAGGUGGCCUCUACAUGUAAGCUACCACUGAAGGAGGGGAUUGCGUCUGAUUAGCUAGGUGGAGGGGUAACGGCCCACCAAGGCGAUGAUCCGUAGCCGGUCUGGGAGGAUGAACGGCCACAUUGGGACUGGGACACGGCCCAGACUUCUACGGGAGGCAGCAGUGGGGAAUCUUCCGCAAUGGACGAAAGUCUGACGGAGCAACGCCGCGUGAGUGAUGACGGCCUUCGGGUUGUAAAGCUCUGUUAAUCGGGACGAAAGGCCUUCUUGCGAAUAGUGAGAAGGAUUGACGGUACCGGAAGAGAAAGCCACGGCUAACUACGUG
rnacentral:rRNA from 1 species